rnacentral:rRNA from 1 species
AUACGGAGGUGGCAAGCGUUGUUCGGAUUUAUUGGGUGUAAAGGGUGUGUAGGUGUUCCCGUAAGUCGGGUGUGAAAUCCUUCAGCUUAACUGAAGAAUUGCGCUCGAAACUGCGGGAAUUGAGUGUAUGAGAGGAGAGGGGAAUUCUUGGUGUAAGGGUGAAAUCUGUAGAUAUCAAGAAGAACACCGGCGGCGAAGGCGCCUCUCUGGCAUACAACUGACACUGAAACACGAAAGCGUGGGUAGCAAACAGGAUUAGAUACCCUGGUAGUCCACGCCGUAAACGAUGUGCACUAGGUGUGCCCUGUCAAAGGGGCGUGCCGCAGCUAACGCAUUAAGUGCACCACCUGGGGAGUACGUCGGCAACGAUGAA